GCGCCCGAUCUCGUCUGGUCUCGGAAGCUAA
rnacentral:rRNA from 1 species